rnacentral:rRNA from 1 species
CCUACGGGCGGCUGCAGUGGGGAAUAUUGGACAAUGGGCGAAAGCCUGAUCCAGCCAUGUCGCGUGUGUGAAGAAGGCCUUCGGGUUGUAAAGCACUUUCAGUGGGGAAGAAAGCCUUGGGGCUAAUACCCUCGAGGAAGGACAUCACCCACAGAAGAAGCACCGGCUAACUCCGUGCCAGCAGCCGCGGUAAUACGGAGGGUGCGAGCGUUAAUCGGAAUUACUGGGCGUAAAGCGCGCGUAGGCGGUCUGAUAAGCCGGUUGUGAAAGCCCCGGGCUCAACCUGGGAACGGCAUCCGGAACUGUCAGGCUAGAGUGCAGGAGAGGAAGGUAGAAUUCCCGGUGUAGCGGUGAAAUGCGUAGAGAUCGGGAGGAAUACCAGUGGCGAAGGCGGCCUUCUGGACUGACACUGACGCUGAGGUGCGAAAGCGUGGGUAGCAAACAGGAUUAGAUACCCUGGUAGUC